UUAAUUUGUUUAUGGUGUGUACUUGUUUGUCUGCUCAUGUACAUUUGUUUAUAUCCGUCGAGUCAGUAUCGUAUGGGCAUUUUGGCAACGAUGUAAGGAAACAAAAAAUUUGACGUAAAGAGACUGAUACCGAAAGUUGGUCGUAGUUUUCAAGAUGGCGUCUGUAAAUCUCCACGCGAGAAAUCGCAACGAAGACAAAAUAAUGUUAUUUUAUUGUUUUGACGAUGCAAAAGCUUACAUAAAAAGAAAUGAAAUUGAUACGAAUAACAUACAUAAUUGGUUACAGCACAAAAAACUUUGGUAAUUCAGUUUUUACUUCAUCCUCCCAUAAGGUUUGUUGGGUCCAUGGGAUGAACCCUUAUAUGUAUGUGAGCCUUGGACAUUAGGUUCUGAAAUGCCACCAUGGUACAGACAAGCAUAAGAAGAGAAAACUGGAAAAGGAGAAGACAAAGAAAGUUAGCAGUGAGCAACAUUCAUAUGCUAAAUAGAAAACAAGGCAUGCAGUGCAGCUCUCCAAAAAAUUGGACUGUCCUGCUUCUAUCAUUCUGAAGGAAGUGUUGAUAUUCACCCCUGAAGAGGGUUCAUCAAGCGAGCUGGACAAAAAAAUGGCUGCUUCUAAUGUGAGGAGUGAUCUGAGUAAAGGCAUCAAGAAGAUAAUGGUGGUGUUUCCUAACAUCGAACACAAGUACCAUACAAAUGGAAAGAACGCUGGGCUGUUGCAACGUAUCGACAGUGAUGUUGCCUCAAAAAUUAAAGAACUUGUGGUGGAAGAGGGCGUUGCAAAUGUUGAAGAAAUGCAACGCCAUCUGACCUUAUUUGUUAUGAAGAAUGUAACACCUGCUCCAUCAAGAACUAAAAGGAGAUUUGCCCCUACAAAAAAGUGAUCAGAUAUCACAUGAAUAAGGCAGCAAAGAAGGUUGUGAUAGCAAUGAUGACCAACACAACUUAGUUCAGCUUGUGAGUGUGCUUAGUGUGUAAUUAACAGUUACUUCAAUACAGAUAUAUAUUUAUCACAUGCCAUACCCUGCUUCCCCUUGUAAUAUAACCAUUACGAAUAUUUUUAUCUUACACAUGUGUAAUAUACUUUUUAAGGAUUUUCAUUGGCUUAUUUUCGUUUGCUUGGCCAAUCGCAUUUUGUUAUGUUGCUGAAAUAACAUUGCAACGUCAAAUGACGUCACGAAAUGUAAACAACAUUUCGGAUUUAUCAUUAAGUUUGCGAAAAUAUUUUAAUAAUUUUUUGUGUCCGGAGCCAUAUCUUGGAAGUGCUUUGGCGGAUUUCAUUGAAACUUGGUAUGAGUAUAAAUAUAGAUAAGAGGAUGAUACAUAACAUUUGACAGAGUUAUACAUCUCAUUAAGCAAAAUUUAAGAAAUUGUGUUCUUAUAUUUUCAUAUAUUACUUUUCGGCCUAAGAUGCUAAGGUCAUACAUUGUUUUGUAAACGAAACAUGCGACAUAAUUUUCCUUUAUCAUUUACAUUUGUUGUAAAUAGUGAGCAUAUUAAAAUUCUGAUGUCUGAUAUUAAUUUGCCUCUUGUGAAUAGAUUUGCACCAUUGUUUUGUUAAAUGGACCUUUUCACGUUUUGGUUAAUUGACGAAAUUGAUUUUUUUUCAGAUUUCAAAAUUUUCGUUGUAGUUUUAUUUUUGCGAGGAAUCGGUAAUACUGAACAUUUACUAAGCUCUACAAUAUUACAGUAUUUGCAUAUUUUGAUGAUUUAAACACAUUAAAAAUUUAAAGCAUUACGAAGGAAUAAUUUGGCGAGUUCUGUUGUUAUCAUUAUAUUUUGUGACAGUACGAUGAUUGCUGAUAUAAAUUAUAACAUAAACAUAUUACUUACUAUACGAUCACAGAUGGGCGAGUUGUUUAAGUUCUAGUCUUUUACUCAAAUGGUCAGUUGUUUAAGACUAGUUUAGGAAAACUUUUUUAUCUUUGAUUUUAUUCUUGUUUAAUUAUUGAGCUAUUUAAUUCCGAUGUAAACAUUUAUCUUUUUACAUUAUUUUAUUUAUUUCAUCGUUUUUAUUUUAACCAGGUUUUCCGAAGGAAAAAACUGGUUAUUAGAUUGGCGAAUGCGGGCGGGCUGGCUGGCUGGCGGGCUGGCUGGCUGGCGGGCUGGCUGGCUGGCUGGCGGGCUGGCGGAAUAAGCUUGUCCGGGCCAUAACUAUGUCGUUCAUUGUCAGAUUUUAAAAUCAUUUGGCACAUUUGUUCACCAUCAUUGGACGGUGUGUCGCGCGAAAUAAUUACGUCGAUAUCUCCAAGGUCAAGGUCACACUUUGAGUUCAAAGGUCAAAAAUGGCCAUAAAUGAGCUUGUCCGAGCCAUAACUAUGUCGUUCAUCGUCAGAUUUUAAAAUCAUUUGGCACAUUUGUUCACCAUCAUUGGACGGUGUGUCGCGCGAAAUAAUUACGUCGAUAUCUCCAAGGUCAAGGUCACACUUUGAGUUCAAAGGUCAAAAAUGGCCAUAAAUGAGCUUGUCCUGGCCAUAACUAUGUCAUUCAUUGUGAGAUUUUAAAAUCAUUUGGCACAUUUGUUCACCAUCAUGGGACGGUGUGUCCCACGAAAGAAUCACGUCAAUAUCUCCAAUGUCAAGGUCGCCACGACUAAAAAUAGAUUUAAAAAAAAAAAAAAACUUACAAAGGGGGUUAAUUUUUUUUGGUCAUUUCAAAAGUUCAGUUUGAGUUUUCUCCCUUUAUCAGAUUUUUUUUUCACAAUGAAAACCUGGUUUUGUGACAAUUUUGUCCCUUGUUAAAACUUCAACACAUGCCAAAAUCCGUGAAAAUAUCCAUAUACAGGUAUGCGUUUAUAAUUGUUGGCAUCAUUUACGUCAAUUUCUUUAAACCAUGACUUUUUCCCUUCGCACCAAGACAAGAAUAUUAAUUGAUUAAACCAAUGGUUAUUGUUUGCUUUUGAAUGUCUUACUAUUGAACAUUUGAUAAUCUCAUCCGGAGGUUGUUGCUUUCCCGGGAUUUUAUUAUUGUUUUGUUAAUUUAUUAAUUUUCCAACGUUUAGAAAUGUCAUGUUUUGCUAACAUUUAUAAAUGUAUAUAUACUUUUAUUCGCACUUUGAUCGUAGUACUUUCAUGUUUGGCUUUCUUUCACAUCGAACGAGUGUUUAUUUUUUUAUAUAAAUAUCAUCUACGGUUGAGUGGUUCGCUUUAACUUCUUUAAUUUAAGACGCAUUCUGCAGAAUACACCAAAAAUAUCGGGUUUGAUGAACAUUAUAUAUUUAAUGUUGUGCCUUUCUUUUAUUAAUACGCUCUCCUUUUCUAUAUUUUUUAAUUCGUCUGCAAAACAAAAGCGUUCAUAUUUGCGCUCUUUUAUUGCUAGUUUAUAUGUUUUCUUGAUUAAAAAUCAAUGCAUUUUUAGCUCAUCUAUUUUUUGAAAAAAAAUUAUGAGCUAUUGUCAUCACCUCGGCGUCGGCGUUGGCGUUGGCGUUGGCGUUGGCGUUGGCGUUGGCGUCGGCGUCCGGUUAAGUUUUGCGUUUAGGUCCACUUUUCUCAGAAAGUAUCAAUGCUAUUGCAUUCAAACUUGGUACACUUACUUACUAUCAUGAGGGGACUGGGCAGGCAAAGUUAGAUAACUCUGGCGUGCAUUUUGACAGAAUUAUGUGCCCUUUUUAUACUUAAAAAAUUGAAAAUUUUGGUUAAGUUUUGCGUUUAGUUCCACUUUUCUCAGUAAGUAUCAAUGCUAUUGCAUUCAAACUUGGUACACUUACUUACUAUCAUGAGGGGACUGGGCAGGCAAAUUUAGAUAACUCUGGCAUGCAUUUUGACAGAAUUAUGUGCCCUUUUUAUACUUAGAAAAUUGACAAUUUUGGUUAAGUUUUGUGUUUAGGUCCAUUUUAUUCCUUAAGCAUUAAAGCUAUUGCUUUCAUACUUGCAACACUUACUAACUAUCAUAAGGGGACUGUGCAGGCAAAGUAAUGUAACUCUGACUGGCAUUUUGACAGAAUUAUGUGCCCUUUUUAUACUUAGAAAAUUGAAAAUUUGAUUAAGUUUUGUGUUUAGGUCCACUUUAUUCCUACAGUAUCAAAGCUAUUGCUUUCAUACUUGCAAGAUUUAUGAACUAUCAUAAGGGGACCGUGCAGGCAAAGUUAUGUAACUCUGACUGGCAUUUGAACGGAAUUAUGGGCCCUUUAUACUUAGAAAAUUGAAAAUUUGGUUAAGAUUUAUGUUUUGGUCCACUUUACCCCUAAAGUAUCAUAGAUAUUGCUUUCAUACUUGGAACACUCACAAACUAUCAUAAGGGUACAGUAAAAGGACAAGUUGCAUAACUCUGGUUGUCAUUGUUACGGAAUUAUGGCCCUUUUUUGACUUAGUAACUUUUAAUAUAUGGUAAAAUUUUGUGUUUCGAUCCACUUUACUUCUUAAGUAUCAAGGCUAUUGCUUUCAAACUUCAAAUACUUACAUGCUAUCAUGAGGUUACUGUACCUGGCAACUUUAAUUUUACUUUGACCUUUGAAUGACCUUGACUCUCAAGGUCAAAUUAUUAAAUUUUGCUAAAAUUGCCAUAACUUCUUUAUUUAUGAUUAGAUUUGAUUGAUACUUUGAUGAAACUACUCUUACCUGACAUACCACAAUAGACUCCACCCAAACCAUCCCCCGUGCCGUCCCCUCCCCCCC